CCCCAUGAUGAGACAACCCUCCUUGUGUUGGAGGAAUCUGACUCAACAUUGCAGAUAGCUAGAGAAUGACCAAGACCAGCUGCUACUGAAACCGGAGACCCGGUUAUAUCAACAGGUGACAUUCCUAGGUCCUGCUUAUUCCUACGACCCAGCUGACCAUACACAUUGCUCCCGGAGCUCAAAAGAGUACCAUCACGACAAAGGACUAAAGAAUGAUCAGACCCGCACGCAAUAUCUUCCACCUUCACACCACGCAACUCUUCCACCAAACGAGGCUCCCAAGCUAUAGGCAUGUUGCUCUCCUUCCUCAUAGCUUCCGCAACUUUCUUCUCAGCUGCCUCCUCACCAUACCCACUUGCAAGUGAAUCAAGAGGAGACGCCUCAAGAGGAAGUCCAACAUUCCCUACUCUCCCAUCAGCUACAUAACCCCACCCAAACACUUUACCAUCAGCACUAAGAGCAAGCACAUGCCCCCAACCUAAUGACACCUGUCAAAAACCGAACCUAAAUCAAAAAGAUUCCAUUUUUAAAACCCAAAACGUUGUUAAUUUCCUUUUUUUUUAAUCCAAACCUUAACGAUGUGUUCUUGACAUAAAGCUUCAACCUUUGAAGGAACCAGAGCUUCAACGAUACCUUUCCCAAGCCCAAGCUGUCCUCUUUUCGAUCUUCCCCAAACCCACAAAGACCCAUCAUCUCCAACCGCGGUUGAAACAACUCCAGACGCAAACGCUCUUCGGACUCUCACAUUCUCUAGACCUUCCACUCUCUUCGCUAGACUUUUCGAGUCUCUACCGAUUCGGCCGAGCUGGCCUUCCUCGUUGCGACCCCAAGCCCAAAUCUCGCCGUUGGAGGUGACUGCGAGGGAGUGGUAGUGUCCGGCGGAUAUGAACGAGACGUCGGAAGGCAUAUCGGAAACUUGAGUUGGCUCGUAAGCGUCGAGGCCCAUUCCCGUGCCUGGUAGCCCCAAAGCGCCGUGGCUUCCAUCGCCGAAGCUCAUGACUUUGCUACUUCUCUCGCCAACAAUGGUCGUGAACCAUCGUCGUCUCCCGAAAUUGGAAAGUUUCGCGAUCGACCAUAGUCGCACCAUUUCACCUUUUGAGAAAUUGAAGCCAAAGGAGAAAGAAACAAAAGUAAUUUUGAAAUUUGAUUUAGUUAACAAAAAGAAAUAGUAUCUGUUCCAUAGUUGUGGGCCUUUUAUGUUCUCCAAAAGCCCAGCCCACUAAAUGUUAAUGUCUAACUUGGAUGAAUUUUGUGUGACGGCCGUAUAAGUGAAACAGUAAAUUUGAAUUUUGCUUCACUAUUUAGAAAACAAUAAUAUAACUUUGUGGUAUGGGCCCAUUGUGGCUCACUUGGAUGAGUUUAGUAUUAGUGUUUUUGCAAUCACAUCAUCUCCUCUCUUUUCAUAUAUACUCAAAUCUUUAUAUUAGUAGUACAAACGAGUGACAGAAUCAUCUUGAGUCUAACUGAGAAGUGAGAACUGUAUAACUCGAAUGAGGCAUGUAAUGAGUAAAGCUUGAUGAAGCAAAGGUUUUGGAAGUGAAGAACAUAGUUCCCGAGGUUGUCUCUAACGUUGUUGCGCAUCAAAUAGAGAGAAUCUUUGAUGAGAAAACAAGAAAAUGACUGAGAUUUCUCACAUUUUUGCUAGAGAUAAAGUAAGGAAACAGGGAAGAAUGAUUGUAAAUUUUCGUUCAUGGGAUUAUUCAAGAAGCGAAUGUAUUUCAAGAAGAGCUUAUUCUCGAACUUGCAAAAGCAGUGAGUUAGAUAUGGUUUGUGUAUUACUGGAGAUGAGAAGCGAAAGCUGACAUGACUUCCUUGUAGACUGGCUUCUUGAAAUCCACUGCCUGAAGUAAUCGGAAACAGAAGAAGAUGAGUGAAAAAGUAGUAGUAGAAUCUAAAAGCUGAAACUCUAACACAUAUAAAAGAAAAGAAAAAAACUGGACUCACAAGUUCAACGAGCUGAUCAGGAGACACCCAUGACCACUCCCCAAACUCGGGUUGCUCAGUUCCGUCACCAAGAAGAUUAAUUUCUUCGUCUUUCCCAGUAAAUUUCAGAAGAAACCUGAGGAUUUCCACACAGUAUUUGAUCAGUUCUAAACUCAAAAUCAAAAUGACAUGAGUCUGCGAUUAAAUACAGCCCCAAACCCAAGCUUCUCCUUUCUCUGUGACACACAAGGAAUGCACACGCCCUGCUGAUACAGAAGCUGGAGUUUCCUCAUCCAAACCCUCCACUUCUCUUGGCAGCUCUUCUGGCUUUCCCCUACCAAGCUGCUGGCUCCGGUUCCAACCCCAUGAUGAGACAACCCUCCUUGUGUUGGAGGAAUCUGACUCAACAUUGCAGAUAGCUAGAGAAUGACCAAGACCAGCUGCUACUGAAACCGGAGACCCGGUUAUAUCAACAGGUGACAUUCCUAGGUCCUGCUUAUUCCUACGACCCAGCUGACCAUACACAUUGCUCCCGGAGCUCAAAAGAGUACCAUCACGACAAAGGACUAAAGAAUGAUCAGACCCGCACGCAAUAUCUUCC
rnacentral:lncRNA from 1 species